rnacentral:misc_RNA from 1 species
AUCUCAUAGCUUCUCUUUCCCUCUUUAAAUAAUACUAUAAAAAUCCACAGCCGUUCUCUCUCUCUUCACUCGCUGCUUAUAUUCGAGUUUCGAGCUGAGAAUUGCGGUGUCUCCAUCCAUGGAGGAAUUCUUGAAACAAUGUCAGCAGUCCGGGGAUGCUGCGUACGCUGCGUUUCGGUCUCUGUUGGAGCGGUUGGAGGAUCCCAAGACUCGAGUGCAAGCUCGAAUCUUCCUCUCUGAUCUCCAUAAGCAUGUCACUGACUCCGAUCAGUGCCUCCAGAAGUACCAUUUCCGGAUCCAAGAUAUAUUCUUGGAACAAUAUGAAGGUUAUAAGGGGAGGAAGAAAUUGACAAUGAUGGUAAUUCCUAGCAUUUUUAUCCCUGAGGACUGGUCCUUCACUUUUUAUGAGGGACUGAAUAGACAUCCUGACUCAAUCUUCAAGGACAAGACAGUUGCUGAGCUUGGCUGUGGAAAUGGAUGGAUAUCCAUUGCUAUUGCUGAGAAGUGGCUGCCUUCAAAGGUGUAUGGCCUCGAUAUUAAUCCUAGAGCAGUAAAGGUAUCCUGGAUAAACUUAUAUUUAAAUGCUUUGGAUGAAAAUGGUCAAAUCAUCCAUGACGCAGAGAAGAAAACUUUACUGGAUAGGGUGGAGUUUUAUGAAUCUGAUCUACUUGCUUAUUGUAGAGAUCAUGACAUUCAACUUGAAAGAAUUGUUGGAUGCAUACCACAGAUUCUUAACCCAAAUCCAGAUGCAAUGUCUAAAAUGAUUACAGAAAAUGCAAGUGAAGAAUUUCUGUAUUCAUUGAGUAACUACUGUGCACUUCAGGGAUUUGUUGAGGAUCAGUUUGGCCUAGGCCUAAUUGCUAGGGCUGUUGAGGAAGGAAUAUCUGUAAUCAAGCCUAUGGGGAUUAUGAUUUUUAAUAUGGGUGGUCGUCCAGGGCAAGCUGUUUGUAAACGCUUGUUUGAACGCCGUGGAUUUCGUGUUGACAAGCUUUGGCAGACUAAAGUUAUCCAGGCUGCUGACACAGAUAUCUCAGCCUUAGUUGAAAUUGAGAAGAACAGUCCACACAGGUUUGAGUUUUUCAUGGGUCUUUCUGGAGAUCAGCCGAUUUGUGCUCGAACAGCAUGGGCCUAUGGGAAGGCUGGUGGUCGCAUUGCUCAUGCUUUAUCAGUUUACAGUUGUCAACUUCGUCAUCCAAACCAUGUUAAGAAAAUAUUUGAGUUUCUUAAGGACGGCUUCCAUGAGGUCAGCAGUUCUUUAGAUUUGUCUUUUGAGGAUGAUUCUGUUGCCGAUGAGAAGAUCCCAUUCCUAGCUUAUCUUUCUGGUGAAUUGAAAGAGAGCUCAAGUUUCCCUUAUGAGUCACCAGCUGGCAGCAAACGUUUUCGUAAUCUAAUUGCAGACUUUAUGAAAAUAUAUCACCAUAUUCCACUCAAUUCCAAUGUAAGGAUCUGCUUAAUCAAUUAGUUGCUUAUGCUGUUGUGCUCUUGUUGUUAACAGAAUCAUCUGAAUGAGGCUUCUUCAUCCUCCUCUUUUUUCCUUAUAAUCAAUGUUAUAAUGCUUUCCAUUGUGGUCCAAAUCAUAGUGAAAAUUGUAAAUGCUUUGUACGUGGGUUCAGUUCAGUCCAAUCUCUUGUACUACUUUUCAGCAAAUUAUGUGGUUUUCACCUUUGUGCUAUAUCUGAAUGAAGAAAAAGUUAUUAUGUCAUUUAUAGUUUCUGGAAUAGUAGUGCUCUAUCCAAAAAUGACAUUCUAUUAACCACUCUUGGUUACUACAAGUCCACAACAUCUUUAUUUUCAAUGAUCUUUCCACAGCCUUUUUCUUUUUUAAUUUAUUUGAGUGGCUUUGACUUGUUUUAAAUGAAAAUAAUAUGGUGUACAAUUUUGCUAUCUAGACAUGUAAACUUUUCAUUUUAGAUAACACAUUCAUGAUUCUUGAUUUCAUGGCUAACUUACUAUCAUUUAAUUCAACUUGACCACUAAAUCUCUUGCAAAGUUGCAGUGUUGUAUGGAUUAUAACCGAUUUGCUUCUUGGGUACUUGACCUAUAUUUUUUAUUUUCAGAAUUAUGAUGCCUAUAAAAGAUGGUAUGAAAGUUAUUCCAGUGUUAUGCUUUUUUGGUUCUAAUGUUAUAUAAGCUACGUUGUUGACUUAAUUUUUUUGAUUCUUCUGCAAGAAUGUUGUCAUCUUUCCUUCAAGGGCUGUUGCAAUUGAAAAUUCUCUUCGAUUAUUCUCACCUCAUCUUGCAAUUGUUGAUGAACAUCUUACUCGACACCUACCUCGGCAAUGGUUAACAUCUUUAGCAAUUGAGGGUACAGAAAAUUAUGACCCAUCAAAGGAUGCAAUUACUGUCAUUGAAGCACCAAAACAGUCUGAUCUAAUGGUAGAGCUGAUAAAGAAACUCAAACCACAGGUGGUGAUUACUGGGAUGGCUCAAUUUGAGGCCGUGACUAGUUCAGCUUUUGUUCAGCUCUUAGAUAUUACUAGAGAAAUUGGAUCUCGUCUUUUCUUAGACAUAUCUGAUCAGCUUGAGCUAUCCAGCCUUCCAAGUCCCAAUGGAGUCCUAAAAUAUCUUGCAGGAACUCGGCUACCUUCGCAUGCUGCAAUCCUUUGUGGCCUAGUAAAGAACCAGGUUUAUUCAGAUUUAGAAGUAGCUUUUGUCAUUUCAGAAGAAGAGGCCAUUUUUAAGGCCUUGUCCAAGACUGUGGAAGUACUGGAAGGAAAUACUGCACCGAUCAGGCAGUUUUAUUAUGGUUGUCUGUUCCAUGAGCUUUUGGCUUUUAAGCUUACGGACCGACGUCCGCCUGCAGAGAGAGAAUGUGAAAAAGCCAAGUCAGUUGAGGCGAUUGGGUUUGCUAGUUCUGCUAUCUCAGUCCUCAAUGAUUCUGAGUUGUCAAUUAGUGAGGAAGAAAAGUCUUCCUUGAUUCACAUGGAUGUAGAUCAAAGUUUCUUGCCCAUUCCUUCUCCUGUCAAGGCUGCAAUCUUUGAAAGUUUUGCAAGACAGAACAUGGCUGAAUCGGAAAUUGAUGUCACUCCUAGCAUCAAGCAAUUCAUUAAGAGCAAUUAUGGAUUUCCAACUGACAACAGCACAGAGUUUGUAUAUACAGACUUCUCACAAGCCCUGUUUAAUAGACUGAUCCUCUGCUGCAUCCAAGAAGGUGGAACAUUCUGCUUCCCAGCUGGCUCAAAUGGGAACUAUGUAUCUGCUGCCAAAUUUCUGAAGGCAAACAUUAUGAGUAUCCCUACUGACUCUGCAUCAGGUUUCAAGUUGACAGAAAAGCUACUUGAUGGAGCACUUGAUACUGUGAGUAAGCCAUGGGUGUAUAUUUCUGGUCCUACAAUCAACCCUUCGGGGUUGCUUUACAGCAACAAAGAGAUGGAGAACAUAUUAACUGCUUGUGCAAAAUUUGGGGCACGAGUUGUCAUUGAUACUUCAUUCUCAGGGUUGGAAUUUGAUUUGGGAGGAUGGGGUGGCUGGGAUUUGGGGGCAACAUUAUCAAAGUUGACUUCCUCUGGCAACUCAUCUUUUAGUGUAUCUUUGCUUGGAGGACUGUCUCUUCAGAUCCUAAGUGGAGUACUCAAAUUUGGGUUUCUGGUUUUAAACCAUCCUUACCUGGUCAAUGCAUUUUAUAGCUUUCCAGGAUUAAGCAAACCUCAUAGCACUGUCAAAUAUGCUAUCAAGAAGUUGCUAGGUUUGAAUGAGCAGAAAGCAAAAGACCUGACAGAUGCUGUUGCAGAACAAACUAGAAAACUGAAAUCCAGAUCCCAGCGCAUGAAAGAGACACUAGAGAAAUGCGGGUGGGAGGUUCUCCAGCCUUGUGGUGGUGUUUCCAUGAUGGCAAAGCCUUCUGCCUACCUGAACAAGGUUGUGAAGAUCAAGCAUUCACCUGACGAUGAUGUGAAAAAUGCCACUGCUUACGAAGUCAAGCUUGGUGACUCGAAUAUCAGGGAAGCAAUUGUCAAGUCCACUGGUUUAUGUAUCAACAGCGGCUUAUGGACUGGAAUUCCUGGAUACUGCCGCUUCACAUUUGCUUUGGAAGAAAGCGACUUUGAGCGGGCAUUGAAUUGCAUAGCUAAAUUCAAGGAUCUUUUAAGUAACUAAAAUGACCUAUUAUAAUCAUAUGUUUUAUCUGAUUCCUUGGUAAAUAAAGUAAAUCUGCAAUCUAACUUACAGAACUCACAGCGAUCUAUACAAGUCAGCAUCAGCUGAGGUAUUUCUUUUAUCCUUCUAAAAUCAUACCAAUCCAUGUUUCUUACUUGAUUGUGUUUCAGUUCAAUGCCAAUUUCUGUAUGAACUGUCAAGUGGAUUUUAUUGGAAUCUUGUUCAAUACCCACUUUGUUUUCUGCCCAUUACACAAGGUGUACUUUCAUAACUUUGAUUGUCAUUUGUGAUUGUUCCGGAAAAG